GUGGGAUUAGCUAGUUGGUGAGGUAAUGGCUCACCAAGGCGACGAUCCCUAGCUGUUCUGAGAGGAUGAUCAGCCACACUGGGACUGAGACGCGGCCCAGACUCCUACGGGAGGCAGCAGUGGGGAAUAUUGCACAAUGGGGGAAACCCUGAUGCAGUCAUGCCGCGUGUGUGAAGAAGGCCUUCGGGUUGUAAAGCACUUUCAGUAGGGAGGAAAGGUAGCAGUUUAAUAAACUGUUGCUGUGACGUUACCUACAGAAGAAGGACUGGCUAACUCCGUGCCAGCAGCCGCGGUAAUACGGAGGGUCCGAGCGUUAAUCGGAAUUACUGGGCGUAAAGCGUGCGCAGGCGGUUUGUUAAGCGAGAUGUGAAAGCCCUGGGCUCAACCUAGGAAUAGCAUUUCGAACUGGCGAACUAGAGUCUUGUAGAGGGGGGUAGAAUUCCAGGCGUAGCGGUGAAAUGCGUAGAGAUCUGGAGGAAUACCGGUGGCGAAGGCGGCCCCCUGGACAAAGACUGACGCUCAUGCACGAAAGCGUGGGGAGCAAACAGGAUUAGAUACCCUGGUAGUCCACGCCGUAAACGAUGUC
rnacentral:rRNA from 1 species